AGAGAUAGAGUUUUCCUCUUCGGAGGACAAAGUGACAGGUGGUGCAUGGUUGUCGUCAGCUCGUGUCGUGAGAUGUUGGGUUAAGUCCCGCAACGAGCGCAACCCUUGAACUUAGUUGCCAUCAUUCAGUUGGGCACUCUAAGUUGACUGCCGGUGACAAACCGGAGGAAGGUGGGGAUGACGUCAAAUCAUCAUGCCCCUUAUGAUUUGGGCUACACACGUGCUACAAUGGACAAUACAAAGGGCAGCGAAACCGCGAGGUCAAGCAAAUCCCAUAAAGUUGUUCUCAGUUCGGAUUGUAGUCUGCAACUCGACUACAUGAAGCUGGAAUCGCUAGUAAUCGUAGAUCAGCAUGCUACGGUGAAUACGUUCCCGGGUCUUGUACACACCGCCCGUCACACCACGAGAGUUUGUAACACCCG
rnacentral:rRNA from 1 species